GUUCAUCUGGUUCAAGAACUAGAAGAAGAAAUGUAAGUAACUCGAAUCUCGGAUUAAUUUCUGGCAGAAAAAAAAAAUCUUGGAUUAAUUUUAUAAUUUGAUUUUAUUAUCAUUAUAAUCACAAAGUUUGUUGGAUGCAUUUACUCUUUCAACUACCAUUCAUGUCUUUGGGUCUGUUUCCUUGUUUGUUUCUUUGUUGUUUUGUUAUUUCUUGGAGCAAUGAAGGCGCCUAUAAAUGGAUUAUAUUGUGUAAUUUUCGAGUUUAACAUUUUCACAAGACUCAAGUUUAGGUCUUUCUUAGAGAUUUAUUGUUGGAUUUGAGCUCUGUUAUUUGAUUUUGAAUUUCAACUUGUCAAUUUGUCUCAAUUUUGACCAUAGAUAGAACUAGAAUUACUAUACAAAUUUGAUUCAACAAUUCAAUUUUUCAAUGGUGCAUUGUUUGAAAUUUCCAGGUUCAUGGGGUAUUGAACACCGUCAGCUGGGGAAUCUUGAUGCCGUUGGGAGCCAUAACGGCUAGGUACAUGAAGGUGUUCAAAUCAGCAGACCCGGCAUGGUUUUAUCUCCAUGUUGCUUGCCAAUCUUCGGCCUAUAUUGUUGGUGUUGCAGGAUGGGCAACUGGUAUUAAGCUCGGCAGCGAUUCUCCUGGAGUCACACAGAAUACCCACAGGAACAUUGGCAUUGUCCUCUUCUGCCUCGGAACUCUUCAGGUAAUUUCUUCUCCCUUAACAUUUUUUAGCUUAGUUAAUUAAACAUUAAACUCAACGGUGGGUAAAUUAAACAUUAAACUCAACGGUGGGUAAAGGAAAUAUGGAACUGCAUAUCAUUUUCCUUUCAUUUAUCUCAGAUUGAAAUAUCAUAUUUUAUCAUGUUCAACUUGAGCUGAUGCACAACUUCUAGGCUCUGUCAAUUCUGAUCUGUUAGAAAAUGACCUUAACAAGUUUGCUGACAAGAAGUUGCAUAGAUACAUGAAUUGCCAGGUCUAUAAGUAUUUGACAGGGGUCUUAGUCCUUUCCUUCAGUUUGCCGCUAUGACAUACUUUCAUGAAGUUUCUAAUAGUUCCCUUAAAGACUACUCUAACUCCACUUCGAAUUAUUACUUCUUUAGCAACGGUUUCUUACAGAUAUUGGAUUGAAAUAUUGACAGGUCUUUGCUUUGCUUCUGAGGCCAAAGAAGGAUCACAAAUACAGAUUCUAUUGGAACAUCUACCACCAUUCCAUUGGUUACACUGUCAUCAUCCUCAGCAUCAUCAACAUUUUCGAGGGCUUCGACAUCCUUCAACCUGAUGACAAAUGGGAAAGAAUUUACAUUGGCAUUCUCAUAUUUUUAGGAAUUGUCGCAACUUUAUUGGAAGCAUUCACUUGGUACAUAGUUCUCAGGAGGAGGAAGACAGGAUCUUCUGAUAAGCAUUCUCACACCAUGAAUGGAGCCACUGGAUUGAAUGGAUAUGGUGCCACGGGACAGGGCGUGUAAUAACUUUUUUUGGUUAGAAUAAAACUCUAGGCCUUUUUUUCCCCCUUUUGGUGUUUGUUCUUAGGUGCUACUAAUACCAUCCGACAUUGUUUGUUUUGGUCGGACUAUUACACCAUGAGCUUAGGGUGUUUUGGAUGACCCCCAUUUUUUAUUACAGCUUAUUGUUUUUCAUUUUGUUGUGUGAUCUCUGAGUUAUACACCGUAGUUUUGGUUUUGUAUAUAUGAACUCAUAUAUUUUUUUUCCCGUCUUUGACUCAAUAUUUUUCUUUCAAUUCAGUAAUUAUUGUUCUUUUAACUCUGCUGCGGAAAUUAAGCAGCAAAAAUUGAAGUAUGACCAAUUCCAUUGGUACUUUGACAAAGAGGAAAGUACGGACCAUUAAAGUAAAUGUUGCUUUGCUUAAGUCCAAUAACAUCCACUUUCCAACCUCUUUCUUAAGUCAAAGGUAUGGGUGGCUCCUGAAACACUAUUAAAUUUAAGCACAAACAACUUUUAAAUGUUUUGGCAAGGCUAAAUUUGAUUUAGCCUUCUGCAUUUGGUCUUGAAUAAUUUAUAGUCAAUUAUUGGAGAAGCUUAAAUUAUAUUUUUUUUUCAAAAAAAAAAUUAUAAGAAAAGUAGAAUUGUUUUUAUUAAUUUUUUUUUUAAUAAAAAGCAACAAGCAAUCUAAAGAUAAAAUAAAAUUGUAAAUACAAAAAUUUAGGCUUUGGUUGAUUGGAAAAAAUAUAUUUUAUUUUCAUUUUCUAAAAUAUAGUUUUUAUUUUUCAAUUUUUGUUUUUUAAAAAAUGUAUUUGAUAAACGAAAAUAAAAAUUAUUUUCUAAAAUAAAAAAGAAAAUAAAUAAAAUAUUCAAUGAAUUACUAUUAAUGACAUCUAAUUAUGAAUAUAAUAUAUAUUUAUUAAUUGAUACCAUUAAAAAGUAUUCAAAUAUAAUAACUUGCAAAACAUAAAAAAAAGUAAUGUAAAUCAUUUAUUUUUUCAAUUGAAAAAAAAAUAUUUUUUGUUUUCAAAUUUCAAUUCAUUUUUAUUUUUAAUUAUCAAAUACAUUUUCACUCAUACUUUUUAUUUUUAUUUAAAAAUAAUUUUAUUUUUUAAAAUCAAACACUAUUUAAAAUUUAAUCCUCAUAAUUUUAUCUCUUAAAUAUAUCGACAUGAAUAAGCCAAAACUAAAUGAUUCAUGUUUGUCUAUCCUUCGUUGAGUUAGGCAUAUCGUUGGUUGUUCAAUAACUGCUGGUUAAGUGGGCACUUCCCUAUUAACAAAUAGUGCCAAUUCUUUGAGUUACAUUAGGGUUUCUCUCACCGGCUUGUCCACCUUUUUCUUUUGGUAGGACUGGGCUUGUGAACUUUGUCUUGAAUCAGGCUGAAAGCCUAAAAUGAAGAAUGGAUUCUUCCAUUUUAGGGCUUUGGGUUGAGACUUAAUCACUUUCACGGACAACGAGCUGGUUGCAGCCCUAAAAGAUAAAAUUUACUCUUCAAUCUAGACAAAGAUAAAGCCCAUAGAGCCAUUGCCCAUUUUUCUCUCAACCUUACUCCACCAAUAUUGAUUUAUUUUCCAAACAAAGAGCAAGCAAAUUUGAAAUUUUCAAAGAGGGCAAAUAAUGAAUCACAUAUAUAUAUAUAUAUAUUAUCUAUACAUACAUAUAUAUUCUUGAAAAUUUUUAAAUUAAAUAUUUUGUCCUUAAUUAAUGAUUUUUCAAUAAAGAAAACAUAACAUGAAUGCAUAUAUCUCAAAAGAGAAAAAAAUUAAAAAUAUAAAUUAAAGUGUUGUUUGAUGAAUUGAAAAAAAAAAGGUACCAAGGAAUUUUUUAUUGUGAAAAAUUCAAUGAAUUUAUGAUAUAAAAAAAUUGUGGUAUUUUGAAGAAAUUAAAUGUUGGGUAUUUAUCGUUUUAUAAUAGAGAGAUGAUUUUAUAAAUAUUUUUAAAGAUAAAUUUUUUUUUACAAAUAUGGUAUCGCUUACAAGAAAAGGAUAUAAUAUUGCUGUAAUUAAAUAAGAAAAUUUUUAUUAAAUAAUUUUUAACUACUUUAAAUUUUUAACACCUUUUUCAUUGAAAAUCUUCUAAUUAAGUGGUUUUUAAAACUAAAUUAUCAAACGUAUUGAAAAUUUUAAAUCACUGAAAAUUCAAUCAAAGUCCACCAGCGCUCCUCUGGCUGGAACACAUUGUAUAACAUGAAAUAAAGAAACUAAAUUUAUUUAAUUAAUGUAAUAAUUAUUUAUAUAAUAUACUUUAGAUGUAAAAUCAUCCAUGUGCAUGAACGACUAAUUUGAUAAGAAGUCAUUCUCUCUUCUUCUAAAAUUCUACUGUGAAAAAUGAAUAGAAAGAAAUCAUAAAAAAAGCGAGUUACAUAUGGAAAACCAUAAAAUAUUUUCAACAUCCUAAAGAUGAAAAUUUUAAUGCACAGUAAAAAAAUGAAGUAUAAACAUGCAAUUUAGGGAAAGUACAAUAAUUUAGCCUAAAAAAUUUGUGCACGAAAAUUUAACGUGGAACAUCACAAUUAUCUAAAUCUUGGGAUGAACGAUCUGUGGGUUGGAGAGUAGCAAUCUGUUGGAUGAUUUGGGAUUUGUCUGCUUCAAACUGUUCAUCCUUUGUAGCACGGCAGAAUUUGACAUUGGUUCACAACAUAUGGUUCAAGGAGUAAUUUUAAAACAGAUUCUUUUUCUACCUCUAUCGAUGUUGAAUUCUCCAAAGAACCGCAGAAACUUGCUCCUAUUUGUGACAAGGAUACUAAUGAUCUCAGGAGGUUUAUUUUGAUUUGCAACAAACAGCUAUGAACAACAACAAAUGGAGAAAUGAAAAAGAUGAAGUAAAACAACAAAAGUCAAAAUCUGCAAUCACAAAUAUAGGUGGCAGAUUCCAUCAUCAUUCGCCUUGAACACAUGGAAAGCAUCUAAUUUUAUUGUCUUGUUUGAAUCCUGCAGAUUGGUGAGCCAAAAUGAUCGGAGUGAAAUAUAUAUAUAUAUAUAUAUAUAUAUAUAUAUGUAAUAUGCAGAAGCUUUUCUAUGUACACAAAAUGCUGUCAAGGAAGGUGUAAGAGUAGCCUUAGAAGAUUCAUCAUGAUCCUCGUGUGAUCUAAUGAGGUCACGUACCGAACCAUCACAGCAGAAUUUGAGCGAUCUAGCAACAUAUCUUCGAGGAGCUGCCAAAAAAAGUCAUUAGCAUAGCUGGUAGAAAUAGAAAUCAUUUGACAUUGAGAACAAUCAAAAACAAUGAUGAAGGUGGUAAUUAAUUGACUUUAUUUGAAAGCAAGUUAGAUGACCAAUAUGAAUCUACUGUACCUUGAUAGCAUGUUGUCUGUGUUAGGAAUAAUGACUCAAAUCUCAUAAGAGAUUUGUUUGAGAUUUUUAGAGAUUUGUUUGAGAUUUGUCAGAUAUUGCUUGAUGAACAAGAAGACUUGCAAAGAAGAAUUCCAAGAGAAAGAUGAUUCUUAAUAGGUAAGUUUGACUUACAAGAGAAAAAUUCUAAAAGGAAAGAGAUUCUUAAUAAUCAAGUUUGACUUAACAGGAGAAGAAUUCUAAGAGGAGAGGGAUUUUUAAUGGGCAAGUUGUACUCUACAGGGUUAGGAUGAGAAAAAAGUGUAAGAGAGUUGUAGGGUUUUGUGGGAUAGACACCCUAUAGGAGUAUUGGGGCUCUACGUCUUAUGGGUGUGUAUGUUUUGUUUAUGAGUGGACUAGAGGAGACUGAGAGGGUCCACAUAGGUAUGAUGUAUGAGAACAUAUGGGUAUGUGUUUAGUUGUGUUGAAAGGGUGCACAAGAGUUUGGGUUUUGUGUUUGUUUGGGUUGAGAAUACUCCAUAGGACUAGAAGCGAUUGAGAGUGUUUUAUGAGUAUUGAUUGUUGAGUGAGGUUGAUGAUUGACGUAAGUUUGUAAUUUUCUACAACUAGUGGAUUUUGUUUCUCAUCCGUGGAUGUAGGUCAGUUGGACCGAACUACGUUAAAUUAUUGUCUCUUGUGUGUUUGAUUUGUUGUUUGAUUUCGCUUUCGUUGGUGUGAUUAGAUUGGAGACUUUUAGCCCAACAUACGGUGACGUAGCUUUCAGAUUGCAGCAGUUGGGAAUUGCAUUCCUGGAAAAACUGUACAAACCCAAAUUAGAAAAACCUGAUAUUAUUCGUAGGAAACUACCCUAGUCUCCUACGUACACUUGUUCUCGAGUAAAAAUUGAUAUUUCCUGGAUAUAUGAUUCAGAUUAAUCCUCAGGUAUAUAUAUUCUGACUAUAGCUAUACAAGCUAAACAAUCACAUGAAUCAUAAAUUCAUACCUGUGGAUUACAUGUUCCUAUACUUAAAUUAGUCACUACGAUCAUACAUGGAAAUAGUUUGGUAACACACAUAAUGUAUGUAGAUAGUGAAUUCAACACUUUACCCAGUCAUAAUUUGCAGAACGAAAUUCAGUCACAGUGGAUUUAUGCCUUGUCAAAAGCUCCUGUAGAAAUGCGUUUGUGUCAGAGUUCAUGGGUUUCUUUUUUUCCAAACCGAUUUUUGGCACAAAGAGAAGUGAGGGCAUUUAACAAAACAUAUAUGACAGAAAAAGAGAAAACAAGAGAAAAAAUGGUACUCAAAUUUAAAAGUGGCUUGAAAAUCUGAUGCUAUGUCGAAAUUUGGAUUUUGUAGAUAAUAAAAAAACUUCUUCAUAUGCUCUGAUUUCUAGACAUACCUGUCAAAUCAACCCACAAAAACAAAAUUAAGUUUCUUCCCUUAGUUUUAUCUAUUAAUAAGAAGCCAGUUAGAAGGUUUUAAACUUUAAAGUCAACCUGAAUGACAGAGAAACAAAGAAAGCAAACCAAAAUGUUUGAAGUGUUGGGCUAAAAACUUCUAAUUCAAUCACAUCAGCGGAAGUGAAAUCAAACAAUAAAUCAAACACACAAGAGACAACAAUUUAACGUGGUUCAGUCUAACUGACCUACAUCCACGGAUGAGAAACAAGAUUCACUAGUUAUAGAGAAUUACAAACAUACAUCAUAUCAUCAACCUCACUCAACAAUCAAUACUCAUAAGACACUCUCAAUCUCCUCUAGUCCUAUGGAGUAUUCUCAACCCAAACAAACACAAAUUCAAACCCUUGUGCAUCCUUUUAACAUAACCAAACACAUACCCAUAUGCUCCCAUACAUCAUACCUAUGUGGACCCUCUCAGUCUCCUCUAGUCCACUCACAAAUAAUCAUAUACACUCAUAAGACGUAGAGCCCCAAUACUCCUAUGGGUGUUUAUCCCACAAAACCCUACAACUCUUUUACAUCUUUUUCUCAUACUAACCCUGUAGAGAUUUCACCUAUUUAUAACCAUACAAACUUGCUCAUUAAGAAUCCCACUCCUCUUAGAAUUCUUCUCCUGUAAGUCAAACUUGCCUAUUAAGAAUCCAUUUCCUUUUAGAAUUUUUCUCUUGCAAGUUAAACUUACCUAUUAAGAAUCCUCUUUCUCUUAGAAUUCUUCUUUUACAAGUCUUCUUGUCCAUCAAGCAAUAUCUGACAAAUCUCAAACAAAUCCCAAACAAAUCUCAAACAAAUCUCUUAUGGAAUUUGAGUCAUUAUUUCCAACAUGAAGAGUAGAUCUGUUAUGCAUAUGCAAAUAUACAAGGGAGCAAACCAAAAUAUUUGAGUCAAAGCAGCAGCUAUGGUUUCAAAUUCUCUGUCUUUUACCCAGCAACAUUCUGAUGACGGAUGCAUUCCCUUGAAAUUGGACCAUAAGUCCAAGCAAUAUCACGGUCUUCAUAACUAAUAAGCACAUUAAAACAAUUAGUUAGUCACAAUAUCUGUGUGAACCUUUUACCAUGAAAAUAGAAUUGAAAUCUUACCCAGUUAUCAAAAUAUCCAUAACAUCCAGGGUUUUUUCCAAGUACUCAGACGCAAUGAGCCUUGGAUUCACCCUUUGUCGUUGUAAAUUUGCAACCACAUAAGAGGGAUUUUGACGGGGCAAUAAAUCAAGACGGGACAUUAAUGAUUAAUUCCUAAUCUUAUUACUUGUGUCUCAAGAAAGAAAAAAAAUUGUCAUCUUUCAUAAAUGUUAAUGCUUUUAUUACCCCUGAAUCCAAUCUUGGAAGACAAUGGAUGAGAAGGCGAAAUGUAUGUUUUUGAAAGAACACCUUGGUCAAUUGUGCACAAGCGUCUGAACUUGGCUCCCCUUGGCCAUCGCCAUAAAGUGUUCUUAUAUCCAAAAUCAUUUUCCUAGUUCCGAGAUCUACACAAUUUGUAAUCCUUGAUUUCAAUGCUUUUUUUUUUCUUUUCAUUCAUUACAAAUAUUGAUUCAGUGAUCAAUUUGCUAACAAAAUUAACAAGCUCUAUCGUUCAAACAGAAGAAGAUAUCUUUAUUUAUUCAAGAGUGAAACACUUUUUUAUUUUAAAUCUUCUUAUGUUGAUCACCAAAAGGAAAAAUUCAACAUGUUUAAGCCAUUAAUCCUGAAUUGAGUAUCUUAACAGUAUCAUCAUCAAAACAAAGAGAGACGGAAACAAAUUGAUGAAAAACCUUCUUGCUCGUUUGCGUUCACGGGUCUGAUCAGUGUUGCUGAGAGCGUAAACAAGAAGCUCACGCAUUUGCUGCACCAGCUCCACCGGGGUCCGAGGCUUGAACUUGAACAGCCCCUUCAUUUUUCCCUUACCUUUUUUUCCUUUUUUUUUUUAAUUUUCUCUUUUGUGCAAGUAAAUUAUUAAUGGACAAUGCAUGAGGUUUUAGGGUUUUAGAAGAGGAGGAGGAUGAAAUUAAAGAGAAAAAAUAGGAUCAAAAUAAAUAAUGCAUAAUGAUCAAUGCAAAAUCGCAUAAUUUUGGGUGGUAUAAGUUUUUUUGAGGUUUGAGAGAGAGGGUCGUUAGUUGGUUACAUAAUUAGAGUGAGCUAAACAAAAGGUAUUUUUAUUAUUGCAUGCAAUUCACUUGCAUUCGAUGUUAAACACACCUCAAAUUCAUUAUUUAUCUAAGUUGGAGCAUUGAUAUUUGAUCUAUCUUUAAAUUUUCAUCGUGCGAUUAAACGUAUCUUUUAGGUUUUAUUUUUUGGGAUGACUUUAAGACUUAUUUUUUCAUAUUUAUUUGAUUUAUUUGAAAUUUUAUUCUUUAAGUGUUCAUGAAUGAAACUUUAAUUAACAAUAAAAUAUUUUUAUUUGGUUCACGGAUACUUCACAUUUAGAUAAAAUGAGAAAUGAAAUAUGAAUAAAUCAAGAAAAGAAAAAAAAAUAAACAAAAAGAUUUUUACUCAUGAAAAGUGUAAGAGUAAUUGGAUGGAAUUAAGUAUAAAUCUAUUAUAUAUAUAUAUAUAUAUAAGGUUCAAAAUAAUAAAAAAUUAAUUAUAAAUAUUAAAAUUAAAAUUUCAUAUUUGUUAGAUAACAUUUUUUAAAAAUAAUUUUAUAGCUAUUUAAGUGUUCACGUGGAAUUAUUGUAUAAGCUUCCGAAUUUGAUUUAUUUUAGUGGACUUGGCAUAAUUUUAAGUUUGAGUAUAUUAAUUAAUUAAAAAAUAAUUGAAGUAAAAAAAUUUAUUUAAAUUUAAUAUAUUUAAAAACUGUAUUUAUUAUUUUUAACAAAAUGAUAUAUAAAUGAGUAAGUUGAAUUGGGUUUGGAAAAAUAUCGAAAAACUCAGUCCAUGAAGACAUCAAAUUGGGCUAGUGAGAGUAAUCCAUGAUAGCUCAAAUGGUAAUAUUCAUUGCUGAAAGGCCCAAUGCCAGGCCUACAAAUUGACUUGUAAAAUUACGAAAUUUGAAUAGGCAAAUUGUUAUCCACCCACCACCAGAGCUCAAAAAUCUCCACCACAAACAGGAAUCUGAAUGUCUAUUCACAAUUCAGUUCAUAUAGCCAGAAGCAAUGAUACCAGGGCAGGUGUCCAUACUUGACAGAAUGGCUGCUCUCCAUUCUCUUCACUCUUCCUCUCGCUUCCUUUCCAAACCCACUUCUCUCCCUCUUCCAAACCCCUGCCUAUCCCUUCAUUUCCCUCUUAAACGCCUCGUUUCCUUCCCAAAACGACAGGUGCUCAAACGCUUACAUGGGGCAGCGAUAGCCACUGACUCAGCUCAGCCAGCAGUUGAGCUCCGAAACGACCCCUUAGAGGAAACCACGAAGCAAGAGGAAGCUGACAAAGUUGUUCUUCCGACAAACGAGUCAUCAGAAGUGCUUCUCAGAAUUAGACACACGGUAAUAAUUGUUUUGUCAAUUUCUUUUCUGGUUUUUUUUUUUUUCUAUUCCAAUAAAGACUUUUUUCGUAUCAAAGUUUUUCAUUUCUUUUUCUUGGCUAAGCAAUGGUUUUAUUUUUAUGUAUGGAUUUUAGUGUGCACAUGUAAUGGCAAUGGCAGUUCAAAAGCUAUACCCAGAAGCAAAAGUUACAAUUGGACCCUGGAUAGAAAAUGGGUUUUACUAUGAUUUUGAUAUGGAGCCUUUGACUGAUAAAGAUCUCAAGAGGAUUAAAAAGGAAAUGGUAAGUAAACUUGUGUAAAUGAUUUGGUUAAAAAAGGGGAAAGGUUUGUGAGCUUUGGGGAAAAUGUUUUCAUUUGGGCUAUGAUUUUCAGGGGUACAGAGAAAUUCAUUUGUUACAUCAAAAUCUGUAGGAUUGGAUCAUUAAACGAAAUUUACCGCUUGCAAGAGAAGAAGUUUCAAGAGAUGAAGCUCAGAGAAGAAUAAUGGCUAUAAACGAACCUUACAAGAUGGAGAUUUUGGAUAGUAUUAAGGAGGGUCCUAUCACUAUCUAUCAUAUUGGUAAGGCACGUCCCUCUUUUUAAAAAAGUUCCUGCAGAGUUGAAGCUUAAAAUUUUCUUAUAAAUGACCUUUUAUUCAGUUUUAGCUUGAGAAGGACUUUGUAUGGAAUAGUAAUGUAUUUCUUCUAGGUUAGUCCUCCAAGGUUUCGCGUGUAUUUUCUCUGAUUCUGCUAGGAAUAUUGAUUUAAGUAUACUAGGUUUUCUUCCCUGCCUGUUGCUUUCCUUCUUCUUGUUGUAAUUUUCAAUUUCUUUCUUCACUUUUGAUGGUCUUGCAUAUGUCAAGUAACUGUGUGUACAGUUGUUGAACUUAACCAGUGUGCCAAGAUUUUAAUUGCAAUAUUAAGUAGCAUACAUAAGAAAACAAAAUUUCUAAUGUGGUGAUUAUUUAUAUAUGACAUUGGUAAUAUUUUCUUAUGUUUUUGAUCAUUUUCCUUACUAAUACUUAUUCCAGGGAAUGAGUGGUGGGAUCUUUGUGCGGGUCCUCAUGUUGAAACUACUGGAAAGAUCAACAAGAAGCUGUUGAGCUUGAGUCUGUUGCUGGUGCUACUGGAGAGGAGAUGAAAAGAAGCCUAUGUUACAGAGGAUAUAUGGAACUGCAUUGGGAAAGUGAAGAACAACUGAAAGCUUACCUUCACUUCAAAGAGGAGCUAAAUGCCGGGAUCACAGACGGAUUGGCCAAGAUCUUGAUUUGUUUUCUAUACAGGUAGCUCACUUCUGCAAUUUCAGGUCCUACUUUUCUGGCAGUGAUUAACUUAUUACUGUUUGAUAUGUUCACAGUGAAAAAUGUAUUUAUUGCAGGAGAGGCUGGUGGGGGUUUAGUCUUCUGGCAUCCGAAGUGCCAUUGUUAGGCAUUAUUAUAGAAGAUUCAUGGAGGAAGACACACAUAGAACAUGGUUAUAAUUUGCUAUAUUACUCCUCAUGUGGCAAAGGCAGAUCUUUGGAAAAUCAGUGGCCAUUCUAGAGUUCUUAAAGAAAACAUGUAUGAUCAGAUGGAGAUUGAGGAUGAACUUAUCAACUCGACCAAAUGAAUUGCCCUUACCAUAUAUUAGUAUACAAAAGAAAGCUUCAUUCUUAUCGAGAUUUUCCAAUCAGAGUUGCAGAGCUUGGGACUGUCUAUAGAUAUGAGUUUGCUGGCUGCUUACUGGUUUAUUCCGUGUAAGAGGUUUUACCCAGGUAAAGGCUACAUCUCUGCUUGGUGGUUUCGCUAAUUAUGGAGCGUAGAAUUAACAUGUUAAACACAAUCUUCACUUAUUUUCUCAUAAGUUUUAACCACUUUAAUUGAAACUGCAUUUGCAGGAUGAUGCACACAUUUUCUGUUUGGAAGAUCAAAUCAAGGACGAAAUCAGAGGUGUCUUAGAUCUGACAGAAGAGAUACUAUUGCAAUUUGGUUUCAGCAAGUACGAGGUGAACUCUCAACCAGGCCAGAAAAAAGCUGUGGGAGGUGAUGAUAUUUGGGAGAAGGCAAACAGUAGCACUUAAAGAUGCUUUGGAUGAUAAAGGCUGGAGCUAUCAGAUUGAUGAAGGUGGUGGUGCCUUCUAUGGUCCUAAGAUUGAUCUUAAGAUUGAGGAUGCUCUUGGAAGGAAGUGGCAGUGCUCAACCAUCCAGGCAAGUUUUGACUUAUCUCUGUUCUCUGCCUUUCUUCCAGACUUUCCCGCUUUUCCUUAUUCUGUACCCCUUCUCUUUCCAUUGCCCUUAUGUGGGCAUUUAUCUGAAAUAUACAUCUUUUUUUGGGUGAAGUAAGAUCAUCGCUACAAAAUUUGAUAACACUCAGUGCUGCAAAGAUUAAAACACUGUGAUUAAUCGGUAAUUCAUUUUCUCACUUGACAGGUUGAUUUUAACUUACCAAAUCGAUUCGACAUUACUUAUGUUGACUCAAACUCAGAAAAGAAGCGUCCAAUAAUGAUCCAUAGGGCUGUGCUUGGAUCCUUAGAGCGAUUUUUUGGAGUCCUUAUAGAGCAUUAUGCCGGGGACUUUCCAUUGUGGUUCUCUCCAAUGCAAGCUCGGGUUUUGCCAGUUACUGACACACAGGUAUAUUUGGCUUCUUUUUUUUAUCAACUCUUUAGUAAGUGAGUUCUAUUUAUUGAUUGACUAUGUAUCGUAUGUAUUUUCUCAAAGACUAUGGCUCUUACAGUCAUUUAAAAGAAAAAACUGCUUUGCCUUUUUACACAGCUUGGAUACUGUAGUGAGGUGACCAGCAAACUCAAAGCCAAUGGCAUUCGUGCUGAAGUUUGCCAUGGUGAACGAUUACCAAAACUUAUCAGAAAUGCUGAGAAGCAGAAAAUUCCACUUAUGGCUGUUGUAGGACCCAAGGAAGUAGAAAAGCAUAGUGUAACUGUUAGAUCUAGAUUUGGCGGAGAGCUUGGAACCAUGAAGAUUGAUGAAUUUAUCACUAUUAUCAAGCAAGCCAUUGAAAACAGAACCUCAUUGUAAUGUAAAGUUCUUAUACUAGGUAGGUAAUCGAGUCAUUUAUUUCAUGGUAUCGAAUAAGCAGGGUAAGGCUGAAACGAUAUGCCUUGAAAGAUUGAAAAUUUUUGCUUGUAAAUGAAUGUAGUCCCAAAUUUCUAUUAUAAAUUGUGAUUGAUUAGUCGUAAUGCAAUGUGUAGGUGAUAUGCUUCUCUUUUGAAAGAAAAACCAUUCAAUAUAACAAAUUUCAUAAGGGUUGAUGUCACAUUUGGUUUGGUCGUUAUAUUAUAGUAAAUUGUCUAAUGAGAUGCAUAUAUUUUAAAAUUGUCCAAUGUAAUGCCUAUGUUAUAAUUCCAUUUGACAAUGUGGUAUAUGUCUCGGUUAACUCUCAAUGAUGAUGUGAUCAUUUGACCGAUGAAAAUUCACAUUGGCAUAAAAUGAGAACGUUGUCAAAAUUUUUUUAUAAAUUUUUGCCCUCUAAAGGUUAAAUAUAAAUUUUAUAUUAAUAUUUUGUUUUUGUAUAAGUUUAAAAAGUUAGAGCUACAUAAUUCUCACUAGUUAAUAGGUGAAUGACCAAUAACAAUAUCUAAGUGCAUUAAAUUUUAUUAUUUAUUUUUGUAUUUUUUUUCAUCAAUUUCAUGUAAAAUUAAUUUUUAGUCUUAAGUAAUUUAAGUUAACCUAUUUUACUUAGAUAAACAACGAUAAAAAAAGCUUGCUUCUCUAAUUUUAGAGUAGAGAUAACUUUUGAAAAACAUUCUUACAUCUUAAUAGAGUUUGAUAUAUUUUUUACGAGUGUUUUUCUUAUAACAAUUUAAAUUAUUUAUUAUUGCAUUAAUUUUUUAUAUGUUUUCAUUCAAAAGUUUUCAUUCAAAAGUUUGAAUUCUUAGCUUAAAUUUGUAUAUAAUUAAUCAUGAAAUUAAACACAUUACAAAAUCAAAAAUUAUAAAAUCUAUAUACCCUAUGUAAAAAUAAUUUUUGAGGGUUCUUAAGCUGCAACCUAUCUUUUUUUUUUUUUCUUUUUUCUUUUUUUUAUUGUUAUAUCUUUGACUUUCGUGGAGAGUCAUGCAGUUUUUGAACACUUGUUGAUUUUUGUUCUUUCUGUUUUUUGACAAGUGUUUUUGUUCUUUAUUUCAAAGCUUUUUUUUGUUGUCUGUGUUUGUGUUUGUAGUAGGCCUGUUUUAGCAUCUAAGGUAUCCUUCUUUUUUUUUCUGAGUUUUUGUUUUCCUUUUUCUUUGGUUUUUCAUUUUUUUGGGAGCUGUUUUUGGGAACGAUUUUUUUCCUCCUUUAUUUCGUCAUUAAAUAAGGGUUUUGUAGACACUCCAUUUUUUCUGGAUAUAUAAUCAAAUUCUUGAUGUCGAUCGUUUUGAGAUCAUCGGAUCUUGGAAGCAUUCAUGUGUGGGUCUUUUACAGUUUUUUUAUAAAAUUGGAUAUAGGCUUUGGUCUAAUACAUAAUAUUAUUAUUAUUAUUAUUAUUAUUGUGUAAAAUAAAUUAAAAAAAAUAAAAAAAGGGAAAGAAAAUCAUAUUGAAUUUGCUGGAAUACCGUACGUAAAUCGGGUAAAAAGGGUUUGGAAAUUACACUUGUUGAAAUUGGAAACAAAAUCAUACAACCAUUGACCUCAAUCAAACCAUAACAAAAUCUUAGGAUUCAAGAAUGGAAAAUAUGUUAAAUCCCUAAAAUUUUGUUAAAAGAACCCUAUAAAUCAAGCACAAAUUCACAAGUAAGAUGGGAGCGAAGUGAUUUUUUUUUUUGGAAAAUUAGACGGGAUUCAUAGUAAAAAUUUGCUUCGCAAACGAAAAAAGAUCAAAGGCUUUGUGUUCUUAAUUGGGUUUUUCUGGGAUUACAGAAGAGUUUAGGGUUUGUUGGGUUUUACGGGUGAAUCCAAUUUUUGAUAUUUUUGGAUUUGUUUAACACUUUAAUUUCUAGGUUAUUGGUUUGUUAAUUUGAUUUUUUUUAAUUGGGUUUUGAUUUUUGGUUUUGCUUCUAAUCUAUUAAAGUCUAGGUUUGUUGAAUUUAUCUGGGUUUUUUUUUUGUUUUCUAAUUUUUUUUCGGGAAAUCUAGGUUUUAUUGGGUUCAAUUGAAUUUCAUGACGAGAUUUUUAAGUUUUCGGUGGUUGGAAUAUGGGAAGCAAGGUUGUUGUUCUUCAUGUUCUUCAUUUUUUAAAGAGAAGUUAAAAGAAAUAAUUCUAAAGAGAAAUAGAGAGAGGACCAAAGGCUUCUAAAAUAAAUUGAAAAAAUUUAGCCUUUUAUAUCAAUCCAAUACGACGCUGUUUUACAUAGGGGGUUGACCCGUGUGACUUGUAGAGGCCUACAUGUGACCCGUUUCUUCAGACCUGCUUGUUUUGCAGUUUUCUCCUUUUUUUUAUUUUUAUUUUUUUGAUUUGAUUUUUUUUAAUUUAUUUAUUUAUUUUAGCAUGAGUUUAAUAUAUUUGCAUGAUUUUUUUAAACAAAUAUCUAAUUACAUGUUUUUAUACUUAUUAUGUGAUUUAUUAAAUAUAUUACAUAAUUGCAUGAUAAUAUUUUAUUGCAUGAUAAUUUUUGCAUUAUGAUUUUUGUUUAUUUUAAUUUCUUAUUUUCUCUCAAAUUAAAAAAAAGUUUUCAGAAAAGUUGUUUUCAAUCUUAACAAAUUAUUGGAAGAUUUUUUAUAAAUUUAAAUUUUUAUGAAUUCUACUAAAUUAUUGGAGAAUUUCAUAAAUUAAUUUUUUAUAAAAAAAUUAUUAUUAAUAAAAUAAUUUGUUUUGAUCCUACCAAAUUAUUGGAAGAUUUUCAUUUUAAAUUAAAUCUUAUCAAAUUAUUAGAAGAUUUAAUAUAUUUUCUAAAAAUAAAUUUACAAGGAAAUCUUACCAAACUAUUGGGAGAUUUGCAUCAAAAGUAAAUCUUAUCAAACUAUCAAAAGAUUUUACUAAUUUAUUUUUUGAAUAAAAUAUAUUAAUGAAUCCAACGAUGGAGCCUCUUCAGAGUGAGACAUUAGUCUUCAUGAAUACUCAUGAAGUAAGAAAAUUAUCUUAAAUUGCUAUCAAACUAUUGGAGCAAAUUUAGAAUUAGUUUUCAAUAAUUAAAUGAUUUGGUAAAAUUAUAAGAAUAUUUUAAGGCUUGGAUAAUUUGAAAUAAAACUGGUAUCAUCAUUUGGAUUGGUGCUGUAAGGGUGCCAUAACCCUUCUUAUGCGUAACCUCAUUUUCAAACCUAAAAUUUGGUUCCAUGAACUAAAAUAUACUAUUUAAAGAUACCUAAGUCAAUCUUGAGACUCUUUUUUAAAUAUGAUAGAUUUUAUCAGGUGGCCAAUCAUAUCUUAACAAAAAAAAUUAGUGGCGACUCUUAAAGUCUAUCUCUAGCGAUAAGUCCAUGGAUCUAUAUGUUACAAUAGUUUGGCAAUUCCACUGAGGAUACGGGGAGUCAGGCCAAUAAAUGAUUUCUUGUUAUCAAAGCCUAAUCUAAUAAAUUUAAUAUAUUUUUUUCUCUUGCUUGUAUUUUUAUUUAUUUAUUCAUUUUAUAUAUCUAUCAUUUAUUUGCAUAUGCAUAACAUAAGCUCUAUACCUGAGUUUUAUCUUUUAAGAGGGAGUAAAGUACCUAAGCUUUCGUGAGAUUUCAUGUAUCCAUAUGGAUUAUUGAAAAACUUUCACUCAAAUUGAACAAUUUCCACUUGUAACCUAUAAUAGGUAAGGAUUGAGGUGUCUUAUUAGUCUAGAAUAGACAAUGAUGUAAAGAACAAUUUGAAAACCCUUAGAUUGUCAAAUAUUUGAACCAGCAUGUAAAUAAACCUUAAGGGUUCGAACCUAGGUUAAAGCCAUGCCUUCCUUUAUGUUAGAAAUUCCUAAAUAGGACAUAUGAUGGGAAAUUUAUUCUCCUUGUAAAUUUAUGUAUUGUUUUUUCUAUAUAUAUUAGUUGCAUACUAACCCUUUAUGUUAUCCUUGGUAUUUAUACAUUGUUCUUUGUAUAUAUUAUAUGCGUAUUAAUUCUUUUCUUUUACUAUGCAUACAUUCACAUCAUUAGAUUCAUCAUAAAGAGAAAUUACAUAAACUAAUAUUAAUAAAGAAAGUCUUAGUUAUAUCCAUGAAAAACCUAGCAAAGUCCUCUACUGGCUUAAAAAAAGGAGUCUAAAGAGUUGAAACUUACAAACAAAAAGCUAAAAAGGAAAGUUCAAGUACUUGAACAAGAAAAGAAAGAAUGAAAGAGUUUGUUCCUUGACUUUAACAAAACACGAUCAUUUACUAAUCGAGAACUGGCUCAACUUUUGAAAAAAAAUAGACAGUUGCAAAUAAAGCUACAAGAAAGGGAUGAUGUGCUAUCUAAAGCACAAAAACACAUCUAAAUGUUGAAUGGAGUAGUAAAGAAAAUUGAGACAUAAAUGGGGGCUAUGAAUGAAGAAUGUGAACAAUUAAAUAAGGCAUAUAUGAGAAAGCCUAAUUAGUUGGAGUCUCUGUUUGACAAAAUCAUUUUGACUGCCUAUAAAGCUAAAAACAUGGUAGAAAAGAUUAAAAAAUGAAACAUAAAGGUGCCACCGGUAGGAGCAAAUGGCCAAAAAUUGUUAGAUUUCUCAUGGAUGUAAUAUUGGAUUUGGAUAGAAAUAACUUUUAAUUCAAUAAAGAUUUUUUUUGUUAACAAUUGUUAUGUGAAAAUUUUUCCUUAUUACAUUCAUGCAUUUAUGCAUUCAUAAUUGUAUGGUUUCAUGAACAUCAUUCUAAAUAUAUGCCCUAAUUAUGAUAAAUCAAGGUUUAAGGAUAGCUCGACCAAUUCACCAUAAGUAAAACAUCGAGCCCAAGCUAAAAGAAUGGAGCACAACAAUGUAAGUUGUAUUGAAAAGUUAGAAAGGGUUCAAGAAGAGCUUCAAGAAGAGUUAAGUAAAAUUUUAAAAAAGCUAAGCAAGUUGAACAAAGGAAAAACUGUAGAAGAAUGGGCUAAACCUAAAGACCAUCCAUUAUAAUAUGUUAUUGACCCUUUGUAUCCUUCUAGUCAUGACUUAUGUUAGGCCCAUUCGACUCAAGGCACAUCACCACAGUAGUUCACAUUCUCUGUAAGGCAUAUUUACAUAAGAAUGCUAUCUGUAUCAAUUAAGGAGCAAUUUUAAAGUUUUGCUAAUCCUAUCCUCAUUGAAAAGAUAGUAGGGCAAGUCUCAAUCCCUAACUUAAAUGACCUUAAGGAGAAAAAGAAGCUGAAAUUGAAGGCGAUUAAAAGCUUAGGGGACUCAUGGUUUAAACAUGAGAUGAACUUAUUGGAGGAAAAACUACGAGCUAUCGAGGGUGUGGACUUUUAUGAUUCCAUGGAUGCAGUCGACCUCUGCUUGGUCCCAGAUGUUGUAAUCCUAUCAAAGUUCAAGGUUCUUGAGUUUGAGAAGUAUAAUAAUACUAAGUGCCUGAUCACACAUAUCACUAUGUAUUGUCAAAAAAUGGUUGCCUAUACUAGUAAUGAAAAGCUAUUAAUAUAUGUGUUUUGAGAUAGCUUUAGUAACUCAACUACAAGGUGGUAUGUUCAACUAGAUCGAACUCGUAUCCACUCUUAGACUGAGCUUGCUCAAGCAUUUAUCAACCAAUAUCAUCACAUAAUUGAUAUGGUCCCCGAUUGCCUUGCUUUACAGAGCAUAAAAAAGAAGGCAACAGAGUUUUUCAAAGAAUAUACCUAACAAUGGAAGGAUAUGGCUACUAAAGUUCAACCUCUUUUGACUGAGAAAAAAAUGAUAGUAUUGUUUGUUAGCACCCUGUUAUGAGAAGAUGAUAGAGAAAGCAACAAAAACUUUGUUGAUAUGGUGAUAUUAAGGAAAAUUAAUGAAAAUACCAUCAAGGGAGGUAAGCUUAAAGAGGGAAAUGCCAACAGUGCUAAGAAAAGUGAGAUGCAUAAGAAAUAAAAAGAUGAAGCCCAAGCGAUAAGUUUUGAGAGGUAGCAUCAAGAAGUUAUACUUCAUAUUCACCAUAUGUUUAACCUAUUACACAAGUCUUUGCUAGCCUCAUUGCCUAACCAUGAACAACAUCGCUCAUAAUCCUUAUCAACUAAAAUUUCAAGCAUUUACAUAUGGCCUUAGUUUUGUUAGUACAUUAAUUUUAAGGCAUUAUAGUCAAGCGAGUAGUUUGAGAAGAUCUAAGGGUAACCAAGAAAGAGCUUAUAUUGAUUUGAUCCCUAUAACUUAUAUUGAGCUAUUUUUAAAAUUAAUCAAGAAUGACCUAGUAUCUUCAAUCUUUUUAGAGCCAUUAAAGCCACCCUAUCUUAAAUGGUAUAAUGUUAAUGCUAUAUGUGACUGUUAUAAUGGGAAUAUGGGUCAUUCUAUAGAAACAUGUCAUGUUUUCAAGCACAAGGUGUAAAGUUUUAUCUGAGUAGGCUUAGUGAGUUUCAAUGAGUCAAGGGAGCUGAAUGUCUAAAAAGGCCUUUUGCCUAAUCACCUAAGGGCAUAAUUUUAAAAAAUGUUUGAAAAAGCUUAUUGAAAUUGCUUAUCAUUUUAGGAUUUCUUUAGAAUGAUGGAUUUUUUUAUGUACGAGGAUUUUAUUUUAUUUUUCAUCAUUUUAAUAAAAGUGACAGAUUUGAUGCAUUUUUAUGACAUUUUCUCUUUUGUUAAAUCACUAUUAUAUACUUUUACCUUCUCACAUUUUUUUUUCAUAUCCAUUUUUUGAUUCUAAAUAAUGAAUGUUUAGACAAUCAUGUGGAUAAUUCAGGAUUUGAUUUUGAAAUAUCAUUCAUGAUGAUAUGAUUGAUGAAUUGAGAUUAUUGAUUCAUUAGGACUACUGAAUAAAAGAAGAUAGUUCUGGUGAAAAAUUUUACUUAUUGAAAGGUGAAAGUGAUGUAAUACAUGAUCUUUGCAAGUCUAUUCUUAGUCAAUAAAUUUUUCCAUUGAGAGUAUUCAUGUUUAAAAUGAUAAAUAGCCAUUUUUCUUCUACCUUUCACAAAAUGAGUAAAAUUAUCUUUUGUUACCUUAUUUGAGCCUGUUGAGAUUUUUUUUUGAGAAACCCUAACCAAGGAUCAGCCUUACACUAGGGGCAAAAUUUAAGAAGCUUAUUUAUCCUUAGUGAUUUUAGAAGGAAAGACCUUUUGUACUCAAAUCUUUCUUGAAAAAAAAAAAAAGAACAAGAAGAAAUUAAUGGGGUAAAAUAUUAAGGUGCCUUACAUAAAAAAAUAAUCCUUGGUUUAAUUAUCCUUUUAAAUACAAUUUGGGCUUAUUCUAUCCAUUCCUUUUAUAACCCUUCAACCUGGCCUACGUUACGUCCUUUAAAAAUUUAUUUUGAUCGAAUGUGAAUACUUGAAUUGAAGAAUUAUGAAUUGAACUAAGAUAAGUUGCCAUUGGAUUAUUUCAGAUUUUGAUGUAAGUGUUGCUGAUGGAUUAAGGGUAAAGAGAAAUAAAAAAGAUAAAGCAAAGAUGUGAAAAAAAAAAAAGAGAAAAAAAGAAGACUUAAGCUAAAAACUCGAAAAGGUUGUUUAAGUAAAAAAUAAAAACUUGGAAAUACAGCUUCAUUUAAGGAUCCUAAGGAUAUGAGUAAUGUCUAAAGAUCAAGAAUAUCAAUCAAAUGUGUUUUCGAAAAAAAGAUUUUGAGUUAGAGUUCAAAAUAGUCUUAAUAGUCAUUAUUUUGGAUGUUGAUAUCCCCUUUACACAGUCACAACAUUUUGCUUUCAUUCAUCUUUGAGUUGUUGUUGACUUUAUUUUUUUUCGAUAAUGAAGACUCAUUUUUCUUAUUCUUUAUCUAGUGUACAUCUUCUGAAUGAAUUGAGGAAAUGUAUCAUGUCUGUCAUGAAUUUGAAUGAUGAUAAAUGAAUGAAUGAUGAUGUUCAUAAAAGAUUUUUCAUUCUUUUGAAAGAAAUUUAGGAUGACAGAAGCAUGAGAAAAUGAUAAGGAAAGGGCAAAUAAGGUAAUCCAGGGAUGAAUACAAUAAUUGGUCAACAUAGCUUGUGAGUUGGGACUAGAUGAGAAAAAUAACAUGGAUCGAAUGAUGGGAUUUGCUCUAAGAUCGUUUAUGUUGAGAAGCUGAGAAGUAAUAUAUAAAAUAGUGGAGUCUUAAGAACCUUGUUACCAAAAUUAAAAUUUCAUGGCAUUGAUUUAGUAAUACCUAUAUUAUAUACAUUGUGUUUACAUUGUAUUUAAAUCCUUGAUAAUCACAUUUGCAUCAUGAUUGGGGCAUACACGUAAAACACAUUUGAAUCAUUGUAUGACAUUUGCAUUUGUAACAUCUAGUGAGAAUCUGAAUUGUGACAUUUGUAUCAUUUAGAAGGCAUUUGCAUUAUUAUCAUGACAUUUAUCACACAUAUGAAUUUAACUUUGAUUGGAGAAAAUUUUUGACUUUUGAAUCCUCAAAUGAGGAAAAUCUUUCAUGAUAAGUUUUUUGUUAACAAACUUUCCAAACUUUUAAAGUUAUAAAGCCUUUAGAGCCUUUUCGAAUGAAAAUCUUUAACUUUUGGAUGCAAAACCUUAAAAUUUUUUGAAUCAAAAUCUUUAAAUUUUGGCUGUGAACCUUGAAAUCUUUGAUGUGAAUCCAAAAUUCUUUAAAUUUUGGAUGUGAAGCACUAACAAAAAUCUUUUGAAUGCGAAUCUUUGAAUCUUGUAUGUGAAUUACAGUUUGUGAAUCUUGCGAAUAUAAAAUUUUUUAUGAAUAUGAAAAUUCUUGUGAAUUUGCAUCUUUUGCUAAACUUAGAAUUAUUGCAAAACUUCGACAAUCUUGAAAUUUUUGUGAAUCUUUGACUUUUUUGUGAAUCUUGAAACCUUUACGAAUCUUGUAGUUUUGAGAAUCUUGAAUCAUUUACAAACUUUUGAAAUCAUUACAAAUUUUGAAUUUUUUUUGUGAAUCUUGAAGUGUUAGAAUCUUUCAAUAUUUGUUAUGAAACCUUACGAAUCUUUGCAGCUUUAUGAACCCUUAAAUUUUUAAAUUGUAAAUUUUUGGAUUUCAAGUUAAAAGUUCUCAGUUUUUCUGGACUCAAACAAAAUGAACGAGAAGAACAUUUUUUGAAUUUUAAAAUUGUGAAAACUUCUAUUUUAGAGGAUUUUUUUCUCGAAGAAAUCUGAAGAUGAUCUAUAAGACUUAUGGGCAUGAUAUUUGAAAAUUUAUGGAUCUUUUGGUCUCAUAUCUCAAUUUAAGCUCAAACUUAGUCAUUUUUUACCUUGGUUUAAUCUAGGUCAUUUUUUUAUUAUUUGCGGUUCAAUUUCAGUCACUUUUUUUUUUUUUACUUCAGCUCAAUCCUGACAUUUUUUUUUACUUGGGUUUUAGUCCAAGUCACUCAUUUUUUACCUUAGUCUCGAUCAUUUAUCUUUCUAACUUGUGGUUCAAUCUCAGUCACUUAUUUUUGACCUCAUCUUAGUCUAGGUCAUUUAUUCUUCUGACUUUAUGGUUUAGUCCAAUUUCUCAUUUUAAAGUUAUUGAGCCUUUAUUUAGAGGAGUCCAUUUUCGAAUUUAAAGUUCUUGAGCUUCUGUUUAGAGUAGCCCAUUUCUUAAUUUAAAGUUAUUUAGCCUCUAUUUAAAGGAGCCCAUUUCUUAUUUUAAAGUUGUUUAGCUUUUAUUUAGAAGAGCUCAUUUCUUGAUUCAUUUAAAAAAAAAAUUUAUACCUCUAUUUAGAGGAUCUUUGAGUUGAACCAAACACAAUGGUUGUUUAUUUCUUUGCACAAUUUAUGUGUCACAAAACUUGUGCAAAUAGGAGCAAUUGUAGACACCUUAUUUUGUCCAGGGAUGUAAUCAAAUUCUUGAUGUUGAUCGCUUUGGGAUCGUCAAGCCUUAGAGGUGUUAAUGUGUAGGCCUUUUACAAUAUUUUUAUAAAUUAGAUAUAGACUUUGGCUCAAUAAAUAUUUUAUUAUUAUUAUUAUUAUUAUUAUUAUUAUUAUUUGUGUGUAAAAAAGUUAAAAAAAUAAAAAAAAGGAUAGAAAAUCAUAUUGAAUUUGUUGGAAUAUCGUAUGUAAAUUAGGUAAAAAGGGUUUGGAAAUUACACUUGCAUGAAAUUGGAAACAAAAUCAUACAACCAUUGACCUUAAUCAAAUUGUAACAAAAUCCUAGGAUUCAAGAGUGAAAAAUUUGUUAAAUCCCUAAAAUUUUGUUAAAAGAAUCUUAUAAAUCAAGCAUAAAUUCACAAGGAAAAAAGGGAAGCAAUGGGAGCGACGAGAUUUUUUUGGGGGGAAAUUAGAUGGGGAUUCACAAAAAAAAAAUUGCUUAGCAAUGAAAAAAAGAUCAAAGGCUUUGUGUUCUUAAACUGGGUUUCUUUAGGAUUACAGAAGAGUUUAGGGUUUAUUGGGUUCUGGGAUUGAAUCCAAUUUUUGGUAUUUUUGGAUUUGUUUAACACUUUAAUUUCUGGGUUAUUGGUUUGUUAAUUUGAUUUUUUUUUAAUUGGGUUUUGAUAUUUGGUUUUGCUUCUAAUGUGUUGGAGUCUGGGUUUGUUGAAUUUAUCUAUUUUUUGGUUUUUGAUAAUUUUUGAAAAGUCUGAGUUUUACUAGGUUCAGUUGAAUUUCACGGUGAGAUUUGAAGUUUCUAGUGGUUGGCCAGUAGUGGUUGGCAACGAUGCGUAGCGAUAGUAUGAUAUAGUUCAACCAAAAUCUGGGAAGCACAUUUGCUGUUCUUCAUGUUCUUCAUUUUUUAAAGAGAAGUUAGAGGAAUAAUCUUAGAGAGAGAGAGGACAAAAGCUUCUGAAAAAAACUAAAAAAAUUUGGCUUUUUAUACCAAUCCAAUAUGAUGCUAUUUUGCAUAAGAGGCUGACUCGCGUGACUCGUGGAAGUCCACGCAUGACUCAUUUCUUCAGACCCACCCAUUUCGUGGGUUUAUCUUUUUCUUUUUUAUUUAUUUUCUGGUUUGAUUUUUUUGAAUUUAUUUAUUUAUUUUAUUUAUUUUAGCAUGAGUUUAAUAUAUUUGCAUAAUUUUUUUAAAAAAUAUCUUAAUUACAUGUUUUUAUACUUAUUGUGUGAUUUAUUAAAUAUAUUGCAUAAUUACAUGAUUAUAUUUUAUUAGAUGAUAAUUUUUGCAUGAUAUUUUUGUUUAUUUUAAUUUUUUUCUUUCAAAUUAAAAUAAAAAAAGUUUUCAAAAAAAUUGUUUUCAAUCCUACAAAGCUAUUGGAAGAUUUUUCAUGAAUUUAAAAUUUAUGAAUUCUACUAAACUAUUAGAGAAUUUCAUAAAUCAUUUUAUAUAAAAAAAAUUUUUAGCAAUAAAAUAUUUUGUUUUGAUCCUUCUAAACUAUUGGGAGAUUUACAUCUUAAAUUAAAUCUUAUCAAACUUUUAAAAAAUUUAAUGCAUUUUUUAAAAAUAAAUUUACAAUGAAAUCUCACAAACUAUUGAGAGAUCUGCAUCAAAAGUAAAUCUUACUAAACUAUUAAAAGAUUUUACUAAUUAUUUUCUUGAAUAAAGUAUAUUAUUGAAUCCGACGAAGGAACCUUUUCAGAGUGGAACACUAGUUUUUAUGAAAACUUCUGAGGUGAAACAAUUAUCUUAAAUUGCUAUCAAGUUGUUGGAGCAAAUUUGGGAUUAGUUUUCAAUAAUUAAAUGAUUUGGUAAAAGUAUAAAAAUAUUUUAAGGCUUGAAUAAUUUGAAAUCAAAUUGGUAUCAUCUUUUGGAUGGGCGCUGUGAGGGUGUUAUAACCUUCAUCACGUGUAAUCGCGUUCCUAAACCUAAAAUCUGGUUUCAUAGAGUAGAAUUAAUUAUUUAAAGAUAACUAAAUCAAUCUUGUGGCUCCUCUUUAAAUAGGAUAAAUUUUGUCAAUUGGCCAAUUACAUCUUAACAAGAGUAGUGGCGACUCCUAAACUCUAUGUCUAGUGGUAGGUCCAUGGAUCUAUGCAUUAUGAUAAGUUUUUGUUUUCUUUUAGGUUUCAUUGUCACUGCUUUCCUUUCAUUGUUAAAUGGGUUUUUGGGUUUUAUGGUUGGAAGUUUUGCAUAUUGUUAUAGGUGUGUUUUUUUACAAGAUUAUGUUUUUGCAUGCUAUUGUUUUGGAUGAAAAUGAGUUUUUGUUAUUUUUAUUAACUUUAUUUUUUAGUUUGAACUUUUUUUAUGAAUUUAAACAGUUGAGAAACUAAUUGUUGGGUUUGAUGUUAUUAGGAGUUGUUCAGAGUUUGUCGUAGGAAGUAUACAUGUUUGAUAUGUUUUUGUUAUGUGAUGUUGCUGAGCAUUGUGGGUGUACUUAAAACUUUCAGUUUAUUGUUCUUUUUGUAAUGUGAUUUAUGUGUAUGGUUAAUGGAGAAUAGUUGUUUAUAAUUAAAGAAUCAAGUUCAAGAAGUUGAAGAUGGUUUAGGAAAAGUGUUGAAUUCAUAAAAUUAGUAUACAGAUAUAGAAUGAAAUAAUUAUGAGUAAUAGGUUAGUAUUUCAUGGAUUUAUAGGAUUUAUGCCUCUCAAUUAUAUAAUUGCAAGAUUGUGAGAUUAGAAAAGAGAAUUGAAGGCUCCUGUCUAAGUUCCAAUUAUUUUUUUUGUGGAUUACAGGACAUUCUUUUGCUCGUAGACAAUUUUUUUUAUUUUGCUAAUUGCUCUUAAUGAAAUAUGUCAUGUUGCAUAAAGUUACUUAUGGAUGUAUCCAUGUAAUCUACAUAUACUUUGGGUUAAUUAUGGUUUUUUUUUUCUUCAAAAAAUUAUAACUAUAAAGUUAAUAGUUAAAACUAGAAUAGAUGUGUUGAAUAUGGAAACACGUUGUUGUGGAUGUAACAUUAUCAGAUGAGAGAAUGAAAUUUGUUCUAGAAUUUUGUUGGAGGUUUUGAACAAUGCUUUCAUUGCUGCUAGAAACAUUACCAUUCUUUAUUUGUUAUUUUAUGAUAUUUGUGGGAUGAAAGGUGUAUUUCUUAUUUUUUUUUUACAGUGUUUUAGUUAGAUAAUUUGGUCAUAAAUUGGUAGUCCAUUGUGAGAUGACUUAAUCUAAUCGAUAAUUUGCCAAAAAAGUGAUAGUCCAUUCUAAGAUUGCUUGAUUAGAACAUAGGAGAAUUGAUAGUUUCUUGUAACAAUACCUUUAUUAUAUGAUGAUGAUGUUGGAAAGAAGGAAUGAUUGUGUUAACUUUAAGUAAGAGAGGUUGUUCAAAUUGUUAGUCAUUUUGUGCUAAGAAAUUGUUAUCUGUUUUUUUUAUUUUUUUACCUUUGCCAUUCUUGUAUGAGAUAGUUUAUCAUUUGUUUUCUUUAUACUGGUGUUUUAAGGUAGAAGCCUUUACCUUCUAUAAAUAUCGAAAUAGAAAAAAGAAAAGGAAAGACAUAGGUUUAGGAUUAUGGAUGUUGGUAAAGUUUUUUUUUUUUUUGACAAUAAUAAAUUGUAGGUUUCAGGUUUAUGCAAUAUAACCAAUAGAAUUGCAAUUUAGUUCCCAACUCAUGUUGCCCAAGAGUGAUAGGACAUAUUUUUUUUAUUAUAGCCAACAAGUUACCUAAGGUUAUAUAGGAUCAUUGUUUCAUUCUCACUAAAGUUAUUUUGUUAAUGAUAAUGUCUUUAACACUAGAUCUGUUAUCUAUUUUGAAAUUUUGAUCCCUUGAACCUUUGUUUGGUUAUAUAGUUUUUCGUGGAUUAUUCUGUUUUAACUCUAUCCUAUAGCAACAGCAAAAAAAUAAGAAAAAUGUAAGGCUAGAAUUCUUUUCUUCUCUAAGUUUUCUUUUUUCUGUCUCCUUUUUGAUACAAGGGUACUUUUGAGCUGAAAAAGCCUAAUAAACUGAAAUGAUCUUCUGCAGAUUUUGAGUUGACUAUAUUAUUCAUCUGUGUUUUAAUUAGUAUUGAUGUUAUUGCAGAAGUGGAUAUGAUGAAGGAAAGAGAUCUAGAUAAUGAGUAAGAUGAUUGGAAAGGUUUAUGGCUAUUUAAAAAUACGUUCUGAUAUUGGCACAAGUACUUUCUUUUGAUUAAUCUUCUAUUUUUUCUUUUCAGUUGUUUGUCCAAAAUGAUUUAAUUUUGUUUAAAUUUUAGUAAGAUGCAUUUGUUCAUGUUCUGAUUAGUUUAUGUGCUGUUUCAUAUCAUGUUUUCUUUGACUACUGGUUUGGUUAUUAUCACUUGAUAAGUUUCAUUUGCUUUGGUAAUUUUAGAUUGUUGUAUGCCUUAUGCUAUGGAAGAUUGUUUCACUUAGAACUACGUUCAAGUAAGUAAAGGCUUUUGUGUUUACUUUUACAUUCUUAGACUUCUUGAAAAUUUGUCGAUACGUUUCUUUUAUGUUGUUGGAGAUGCAAUUAAAUAACGUGAAAAUCUGGAUAAGCAAGUGUAAUUGAGGCUUGGUGUAAUUGCGGAUGAUAUUGUUGAUUCGUUUCUUCUUGGAAAUCUGCAUUCAAUAACUUAUGAACAAACAACUUGCCAAUUGUUCGGAUUGCAAGCUUAACUUUCUCUCUUCUGUCAAUCACCCUAACAUCAUCCAUCUUCUCUACGUUUGAUAGGUUUGUUCGUAUCUUUGGUUUUCUCUUUUUUUUUUUAGAUUGCAACAGUUGGUUGGUCAUGAUUUUUAGGUGUUUUCCGGAAUACCCAUUUGACAUAUCUCUUGAAUUGGACUGUUUAAUGGAUUAACAAAUUUAAUUUCUCUGUGUUAACUUGCAAGUUUGGUUAUUUAAUUUCAUGUCUGCGUUUGUUCCUUUACAUUAGUAGCAAUUACUGGGAAGUGGGGAAUUUAAUAUUCAAUCACUUUAAGUCUCGAAUAUUAAUGAUAAUUUGCAUUUAGAUGAAACCGAAGAAACAUGUUGCUACUUUCUCCUAUCCUCUAAAGCUUAAAUGUUAAAGUCAAUUUCCAAAUGCUGUUAAUUUAGAAGUUGUUGCUUAUUUCAUAUCUGUUUUGCUACUCUAAUUUUUACAAAAGAUGCAACUAAUUUUCUUUGAUUUCAGUCUAAAAGUUAUUUGCUCCUGAUCCUUGAGUUCUGCGUUAUAGGAAAUCUAGCCUCUUACAUUCGGCUUCAUGAAAUAGUUUAAGAGCAAUUAACAAGGAGAUUCAUGUAGCAACUUGAUAGCAACUAUUUUUUGAUCUAGGUGAUAGGCGGAAAGCAAGGCUUCUUCAUUUAAAUUAUAUUUUAUGUGGUGUCAUUGUUUCCUUAAUGCAGGAGCUGGUUUGAAAGUUUUUGCAAUUUCACCAUAUUAUUCACAAACACCUGAAACCAGAGGUAUGAAAAGUAAUAUCUUUAACAUGUUUACUCUAAAAUAUCUUUAAUAUAUUGUUUUUUCAAUUAAAAUUUUUUAUAUAUUCCAAAUUUUUAAUUAUGCUAAAUGAAAAAACCCCAUAGCGAAAGUACGGGUAUCAGUUAUGAUAAAAAUUACCCACUUGGACUAAAUUAUUGUUGAAUGUGGUAUAUUCAUGCUAUAGUUUCUUUGGGAUCCGUACUACCAAUACUUGACCACACACCUGGAUUAAAGUGUGUGACGAACCGCAAAUAAGAAAGUAUACCCUGAGUCUCUGACCCUACAGUUAAGCAUGUAACGGGCAAAUAGCUAAUAAUAGGAGAGAAACCAAGCCAGGAACUUCACUCGCCAUUGAAGCAUUUUGUUGAAACUUCUGGUGUAGUUGCUUUCCCCUCAAUUCUAUAUAAAUGGUUUCAACCCAAAUACAAUUCCAUCGUUCCUUCAUUAGAAUUCAAUAAAACAAAAAAGAAGAAAUCAAAUAUUUGAUAAAGGAAAGCAUGGCUGUAAAAUUGAAUAUUGCAAUUCUAUCAUAUUACUUCUCUUCAUUUCCAUUCCUAAAGCUAAAUCUACUGUUCUUGAUGUAGUUGCCAACUUUGGCGCAAAAGGCUGACGGGAAGACCGACCUGAGCACGGUAUGCAAAAUUACUUCGUUCAACGUGGAACAUAACGAAACUUUCUCUUGAAAUGAUACUUUUUUCGUUUUCUAAUUUUUUGGUUUUUGCCUUAUAGCCUUUGCUGAAAGCGUGGAAAGAAGCAUGUGCUUCGACAACUCCAAGCAAAAUCGUUAUUCCCAAAGGGACGUACUUAUUAAGCCGAGCAGCCCUGGAGGGUCCUUGCAAGUCUUCCAUCGAGCUUCAGGUUCAGGGCACCAUAAUGGCUCCGGCCAAUCCGAGCGCUUUCAAUGUUCCGAGAGUGGGUAGUCUUCAACCACGUUGAUGGGUUAACAAUGUCUGGCGGUGGUGUUUUUGAUGGCCAGGGAGCGGCUGCUUGGGGCAAGAACAAUUGUGCUCAGAACAAAUAUUGUGCUGCACUUCCCCUUGUAAGCCUUUUAUCAUUUCAUAUUGGAAACUCUAGAAUGUGAAAUUAUUCUUGAAAUUCAAGUUCCUUUGGGUUGAGUGAUUCUUCAAAUUAAGAAAAAGCACAGCUUCAAAAAUUUGUCUUGAUGUCAUAGUAUUUCUUAGGCAUUUAAAGAAUUUAAAGGCUAUUGUUUAGUUGAUGAACCACGAAUACGUUUUCAAAGCGUUUCUACAUCCUAGCUAGCAUUAGGAGUACUACAUUUUAACCCUUUGAUUUUACCACUAACGAAUUUAUUUCUCGUGAUGCUUAACAGAAUUUAAGGUUCAAUUUUGUCAACAACGCGAUGAUACAAGACAUAACUACCAAAGAUAGCAAACAGUUCCACGUUAAUGUUUUGGGAUGUCAAAACAUUACUUUCCAACGUUUCACUGUCUCUGCCCCUGAAAAUAGUCUAAACACGGAUGGAAUCCAUGUCGGACGAUCAAAUGGAGUCACCAUUCUUAACUCAAACAUUAAAACCGGUGAUGACUGCGUUUCUAUAGGUGAUGGUAGCAAGAAUGUGGUUAUCCAGGGAGUAACCUGUGGACCAGGUCAUGGCAUCAGCAUCGGCAGUCUUGGAAAGUACGAAGGUGAAGAACCAGUAUCUGGAAUUUUUGUUAAAGAUUGCACCAUCAGUAAUACCAUGAAUGGUGUUAGGAUCAAAACUUGGCCAGCAUCUCAUCCUGGCUCGGCAUCAGAUAUGCAUUUUGAGGGUAUUACCAUGAAUAAUGUCGGCAAUCCUAUCCUCGUUGAUCAAGAAUACUGCCCAUGGAAUCAAUGCAAUUUAAAGGUACAUUACUUGUCGAAAUCCUAAUCAAGUGAAAAGGGUUACUCAAUUAUUUAAGCUUACAUUCUUACUUAAAUGAUUAUUUUGUUUAUCCAGGUUCCAUCACGUGUUAAACUCAGNNNNNNNNNNNNNNNNNNNNNNNNNNNNNNNNNNNNNNNNNNNNNNNNNNNNNNNNNNNNNNNNNNNNNNNNNNNNNNNNNNNNNNNNNNNNNNNNNNNNNNNNNNNNNNNNNNNNNNNNNNNNNNNNNNNNNNNNNNNNNNNNNNNNNNNNNNNNNNNNNNNNNNNNNNNNNNNNNNNNNNNNNNNNNNNNNNNNNNNNNNNNNNNNNNNNNNNNNNNNNNNNNNNNNNNNNNNNNNNNNNNNNNNNNNNNNNNNNNNNNNNNNNNNNNNNNNNNNNNNNNNNNNNNNNNNNNNNNNNNNNNNNNNNNNNNNNNNNNNNNNNNNNNNNNNNNNNNNNNNNNNNNNNNNNNNNNNNNNNNNNNNNNNNNNNNNNNNNNNNNNNNNNNNNNNNNNNNNNNNNNNNNNNNNNNNNNNNNNNNNNNNNNNNNNNNNNNNNNNNNNNNNNNNNNNNNNNNNNNNNNNNNNNNNNNNNNNNNNNNNNNNNNNNNNNNNNNNNNNNNNNNNNNNNNNNNNNNNNNNNNNNNNNNNNNNNNNNNNNNNNNNNNNNNNNNNNNNNNNNNNNNNNNNNNNNNNNNNNNNNNNNNNNNNNNNNNNNNNNNNNNNNNNNNNNNNNNNNNNNNNNNNNNNNNNNNNNNNNNNNNNNNNNNNNNNNNNNNNNNNNNNNNNNNNNNNNNNNNNNNNNNNNNNNNNNNNNNNNNNNNNNNNNNNNNNNNNNNNNNNNNNNNNNNNNNNNNNNNNNNNNNNNNNNNNNNNNNNNNNNNNNNNNNNNNNNNNNNNNNNNNNNNNNNNNNNNNNNNNNNNNNNNNNNNNNNNNNNNNNNNNNNNNNNNNNNNNNNNNNNNNNNNNNNNNNNNNNNNNNNNNNNNNNNNNNNNNNNNNNNNNNNNNNNNNNNNNNNNNNNNNNNNNNNNNNNNNNNNNNNNNNNNNNNNNNNNNNNNNNNNNNNNNNNNNNNNNNNNNNNNNNNNNNNNNNNNNNNNNNNNNNNNNNNNNNNNNNNNNNGAAGAUAAAAGAAGAGAUUAUAAAUUUGAAAUUUUGGAAUAUUAAAUUUUUAUGAUGUUCGCAUAAAUUAAUUGACUUAAAUCUCAUUUUUUUUUUUUUAAUUAAAGACUCCUUUCUUUUACGUUGGGGCAAGACUUUUUGGUUUUAAAACUUUUAUUUUCUUUAGAAAAAGAAAUAGAUGAUUCAAUUGAAUAAGAAAGGGAUUCAAAUAUGAAAUAUUUUGGAUUUAUUGGAAUAUGAUGUGUUUGACACAUAAGAUUAUGAUAGGAUAGAAUAAGAUGAUAUUAUAAAUAAAAUAAAAUUAAAUAAUAUCAUCUUAUUUUGUAUUUGAUAUGUGUAAAAAUUAAAAUAUGAUAAUUUAUUCAUUGGUCAAAAUUAUACUUUUUCAAAAUUUAUAUAACUUAAAUUAUUAACGUAAUUUUUAAGAGUUUAAUAAAAUAUAUAAGUUCAAUUGCAUGGAUUAAAAAUAAUUUUCUCUAUUUGAAUUAUUUUAUACUAAGAAAAUAAUUAAUUAUCCUUAUAAUCUUAUAAUUUUCUUUAAAUAUAAACUAAAUAUAAUAUAAAAUAAUUAUUAUUCUAUUCUAUCCAUAAUCUUAUGUGUCAAAUAUGAUUAUAAGUUAUUGUUUUAGUUAAUAUAGUAUUUUGAAGAAUUAUUGUUUCGUCCCGUAUUAAAGGGUUAAAAUAUUGUUGAAUUUUAGGGUCAUGGCAAUUUCUUAUUACUUUGUAGCUAGUCCUCCUCUUUUGACUUCCAUUCAUGACUAUUGACUAAGGGCAGAACAAAAAUUUGGACUUAAGGGGAAGAAGGGUGGGCAAUGUACACUACAAGAAAUUUUUAAUUUUUAACUACAAAGUGUUGCAAAACAUAUAUUUUUUCAGCAUAAAUAGUAUUAUGUUGUAAUAGCUUAGUAGAAGUUACACUAAUUUCAAUCUAUGGGCGAUUAGUUGGUUUUGAUAAAUGUUAAUGAUGAAGUUCCAUUCAAAUUGCUUAGAUGAUUAACUUGUAAUUAAUUAAAGUAUAGUUUGGCAAACAUCCAUUCACUCUUAACAAUUUGGUAAAAAGGAAUUCAACAUUUGGGAUGCAUGUGUGUAAUAUAAAAUUAUAACAUAUGCUAUCAGAGUGGAUGCGUGAGAUAUCAUCAGAUAAUUUCAACAAGAUUUGAAACAAAAUUAGUAGUCCAGUUCCUUCCAUCAUUGAAACCUCUUUUUGUUUCCUUUGUUGCUUUUGUUUUUCUACACCUGAGGGGAUUAGUAACGGUCAAAUUCAGCCAGGUAUUGCGUUUAAUUUGAGCCGUGAAGGUCAAGUUCAGAGAAAUAUUGGUUUCCGAAACCGUUGUAGCUGUAAAAAGAUGACGGGUGAUUUCAUUCUUAGAAUUUAGGUUCCGUUUGGUUCAUACUUUAAUUUUUAUUUAUUUAUUUAUUUAUUUUUUUGUAAUAAAAUAAGACUGAAUUGAAAACAAUGAACAAAUUAGUAAAAUGAAAAAAAAAAAAAAAAAACCAACCCAACCUUUUACUUUUUUAUGCUUUACCUGUGGGGCGCACUACAUGCCUCGGGUUUGAAACUAAUAACAAGUGUUUUACAGGUGAAUACGCUGCAUUGAAAUUAUGGCCAUUCAAUCAUUCUAACCGUGGGAAAAACUAAUUUGCACGCACUCACUUAUAUAUAUAUAUAUAUAUUUGUUUCAAUAAUGUGAAUAUAUUAUAUAUAUUUCAUGAAAAAAUAUUAUCUAAAUUAUGCAACAUGCAUUGCUCUCCAUUGCCCCAAAAAAAAAAUCUUGAAAUCUUAUGUGUCUUAUUUAAAUUUUAUUGUUUGUUAAUUUCGUUUAAUUUUAUAUUAAUUUAUUUGUUAAUUUUUUAAUGUAUAUAUAUAGUGUAUGUGGCAGAUGAUAAUUUUUACUUGCAUAUCUGUAAUCUCUUUAAAAAAAAUAAUUUGCAUAUUUAAAAAAAGCAAGAAAAAAUAACUAUUCAAUUACAUGGACACAUGUGAACAAAAUCUUUAGUUGAUGUGAGACUAAAAUAAAAAAAAAAAAAAGUACUUAUUUGACAUUAAACGAAAUUGUGUUUGAAAAGUUCAGCAACUUCAAUCAAUUCAAUGGCAAUUGCUUUAUAGAAACUAUAUAAGAUGGUAAGUUGUAAAAAACUCAACCGGCUGCUUUGAAAGUUCAAGCCAAACCUAUUGAUUUAGAACGACAGAAGUUAUUAAAAAUAAUAAAAAAACAAAACGCAUUGCUUCAUUUUACCCAACUUUCUCCACUUUUGGAGGUUACCAUUCCUUACAAUGUUUCAAAUUUCUAAAGUUUUUACUUCAGCUAGCUUACCUAAUUUCAGAGAUUAAAUGGGAAAACAUUAAGAUUUCAGCGUAAUGUAGGGAGCGUUAUUGACCGCUGCCUAACUAGCUAGUAAAUCAAUACUUGGCCAAGUCCGGAAACUACAAAAUCAAUUAUCAAAGACUGCAAAUUAAACUAUUUCAAGUCCCAUGCAGCAAUUUUCAUUUGCCCGAUUUGUGGGACACGGUCCUUACACCCAUUUUCAACAAAACGUUUCUUCAAACAAUCAGGAGUUGCGGCAGUUUAUUUAAUUAACUCAUGUAAUUACUUUUUAAAAUUAAUAUUUAACAAGAUUUAAAAUUUAAAUCUCAAUAUUUAUAUUUUUUCUUAUAUUUCAUAGUGCAGCCUUUUUGUUAGGAAAAAAAAAGUGAAACCGAGUUAUAACUUAUAACAGACUGCUGAAUUUACUGCAGCAGGGACCUAAAGAUCAUUGGCUAGGACUAAUGACACUGAUAUUCCACAUUCUGAACAUCAGGUCUUGGCGUUUGAUAAACUUUGAUAGCCAUAAUAAAAGGUUGCAGAUUACGCAAGGCCUGCUCAUGCUUUGCCUAAGCGAGGAUCCGGCAAGAAAAAAUGACCCAUUAACUUACUCAGAGCUUUAUGUCAAAAGCUUAAGGCUGGUGAAAGAAACGUUAAUCAAUAUUAAUUGGUGUAGUAGUCAAUUCUGUAGAUUUAUAUAUUCUUUGUUUAUACAGUUAGGUGAAUGUUCUAGGUUUUUCCUUGUUGCAGGUAAUUAGUUUGCAACAGCAAGUUUAACAUUCGUGAACAUACUUCAGCUCUAAAUUUAUUUGGCUGUCAAUCAAAUGAUAGUUAAUUUUGAUUUUGGCACAUGAUUAAAUUCUAAUCAUUAAUUAGUGGGUCGAAUUGAGAAUAUAUGGAAAUUUAUUAAUCUUUAUAUAUAUUUGAAUAAAUUAAGAUAAUGGUUUUUUAUAUUUUUUAUAUGCCAAGUCACAGUCGUAUCUAAUUAAUUAACAUGACCUACAAAACAAGCAUAAUAUCGAAUCCAAUAAUUCUAGUUUUACAUGUAAAUUAGACAUGGUCGAGUCAAGGUUUUUCUGGGUCUCUUUCAUAUAUACCAAAUACCAUUCAAAGCAUUGACACGAGACUUUGUAUAGUCGUGCCAUUGUUACGUACGUUUACGUUGUUUUUGUACGUAGAAAGCAAAAAGACUUGAGUCCGCGCAUGCUUAAUCGAUAAAUUCCAACAUUUUUAAUAAUAUUUAAAUUAUGUUUUUAAUUUACAUUCGAAUAUUUGACUAAUUUUUAAAUUUUUUUAUUUAAUAAUGAGUAGCAUUUGAAUCUCAUUACAAAAUCAAAUAAUAGUCUUUUUUUUAAUUCGUGGUAUUCUUAUUUUCUCAUUGCUCUCCAAGAAACUUUCAAGUUAUAAAAAAAAAAAAAAGAAUUCCUCUUUUUCGCUAGGAUAAAUGAAAGUUUUUUUUUUUUUCUAUAUUUUCCUAAAUAUGCUAACUAAUUGGAUGACAAUUGAUUGAAAGCUCGUUCUUCUUCAUAAAAAAAAUUUUGAAUUCGAAUUUUGUCAGUAAUCAUUUAUUGAGAUCAUUUUAAAUAUACGAUUUGCAAUCACUUAUCUUAAAUUAUUAGAUACGAUACAUUUUAUCCGAACUUGAAGAACUUAAUAACCUAUCUACUCUAAAAUUUUCUUAGAAAAAAAAAUUGAUUGAAGGAAAUAAAUGUACAAUUCUUUUUUUUUUUCUUGGGGAUGACUUACAAAGAAAUGUCUUAAAAUGAGCAACAAUUGUCAAUAUAUUGAAUAAAUAUAUUAUUUUAAUAAUAAAAAUAUAAUAAAUAUUUUAAAGAUACUUGCUCUUUUUUGUUUAAGUCAAUGAAGUAGUAGAAUUGUGUUUUUCUAUUCUCUCAAAAGCAAGAAUAAUAUUGCCCAUGUUGAAAAGAGAAAAAGAAGCCAAUUAUCAUAUGGUUUACUGUUAAAAUGUUAAAUUUUUAAUUUUAAUAAUUAGUGACCAAUCUUUAAUAAAAUCAAAUACCUAAUAGUAUCAAAUACUAACAGAAAAAGAAAAAAUUGAAAGGGAUUCAAGAUUAUUGGUACCACAUAGCAAUAGAUAUUACAAGCAGUCAAUAAUUGUAUAAUUUAUUGAUAAAAUGAUAGAUUCACAGUUUUAUUAAUUAAAUUGAAUUCUUGAAAAUAUUAUAAAAAUGAAAAAAUUAAUGUUAUGAAUCAUUUUUGAAUAAUAAUAAAAAAUUUAAAUUUGUAUUUAAUUUUAAAAAUAUUUAAUAUGAUAUGUAAAUAAUAAAUUUAUUAAUUAAUAUAAUAUUUAAAAUAAUUUAUCUGUUAUUUGUUAUUAUUUAAAGUUAAUAAUAUUAAAAUAAAUAUCAUAUUAAUUAAAAAUUUAUAAUUCAAAUAUCAUAUUAAAAAAUUUAAAAUUUAAAUAUUAUAUUAAAUAUUUUACUAUAAUUUAAAAUUAUUUAUAAUAUUAAUUCAAAAAAUAAAUAAUACAAGCUGUCUGAGAAUCUAAAUUCCAAAAUAAGUAAUACAAGUUGCCCGGAAACGACGUCAGACGAGGUAAGAAACGAGACGCCGAGGCAAGGUUAAGAACGCCAAACCGACACGGCAUCAGUGGUUCUGGACCCCACUUACGUCGUACUUUCAUUUUGGUCAAACUAUACAAUCUAAUUUCUACGUUCCUUUCAAACUUCACAUCAUUUCCAUCUUUGAGUCUUUAGCGUAAUAAUACCUCUACUUGUAUAUAAACAAAAAAAUAUGUGUAAAUAAAUAAUGCCAAAUUUAGCCGGCGACAUGGACCACCGCCCCAUGUCCAACAUGCUUAUUUAUUUUAUUUUUUAUAUUUUUAUUAAAUAAGAUAAUUCAUAUUAUAUUUUUUUAUAUUAAAUAAUAUAAAAUAAAAAAUAUAAAUUUCUAUUUAUAUAAACACGUUACACAUAAAAUAUAUUUAUUUUAAUUAAUUUUAUUAAAAUUUUAAAUUAUAUUAUUUUUUAAAUUUUUUUAUUUUUAUAUAGUACUGUUUAAAAUUAUGAAAUGUACUCCAAAUCAACCGAGCAAUGAUCGGAUUGACGUUGUUGAAAUUAAACAGUACAUGCAGGUAAAGUCACAAAGAGUUUUUAUUUCAACAAGUAAUUGUAUAGUAUUUUUUUAAUGAAAUUAUAAAUACAAAUUACAAUCAUAAUCAAUAAUCGUAUAGUAUUUAAACCUCUCAAAUUUUAUUAAUUCUAAAUUAACUCAUUUAUGAAAGGUUAAUAAAUCUCAUACACUAAACUGAUGUAAAAAAUAUAACAAAAAGCAAGUGACUAAGAUAAUGUAAAUUGAUAAUUAAAGUAAGUGCUUGUAUAUUUAAUUUAGAGUGAUCAGAUUAUUUUUUAAUAAUUUUUUAAUUAAAAAAAAUUACAUAUGAUAUUGUAAGUAUAUAAUAAUUUUAAAUAUCAUAAUCGUAUUAUGAUUUUAGAUAUUAUUUUAAUUAUACUGUCAUAAUCACUAAUAUUACAUUUGAAAAUCAACUUGCCAGACUUGAUAAAAGACGAUUGAUAUCAGUUUUUUUUUUUUUUUCCAACUAAGCAUCAUUAUAAAAUUCAAAAAAUCAAUAUUUGAAAAGAAAAUACAUGAGACCUUCGUAACUCUUUUCACAUGUAUGGUUGACUCAGUGGUUACUGUAAUCUUAGAUAUAUUAGAUUUUUAAUUAUCAAAUUGUUAACAGAAGUCGUGGUUUGCUUAUGUCCUCCACGAUAAAUUAUACUUAAAACACUUGGAGCCAUCAUUUUAUAUAAUUUUUUUAUGGAUAAAUAUUAAAAGUUAUAUAUUGAAAGGUAGUCGUAUCUCAUUUUGUACGUAUUCAAUUUCUUUCUCCCGUUAUUCAAACCCGAAAAAUUUCAAGAGUUUGUGUAAGAUUCACUCCAUGAAUGUCAUUAGAUUGUAUGAUUAUUAAUUAUUAAAAAUUAUCAUAAUUUCAGUUAAUUUUUAUAAUUAUUUUUUUAAAUGACAUUAAAUAAAUAUAAUAUAUAAUUUUUAUUUUUAUUUAAAAAUUUGUUAUGAUUUUAACAAACAGUGAAUUUUAGAUGUGUUAGAAAUAUAUCACGUUUAUUGUAAAAAUGAAAAUUUAAACCCCACUGUAUUGCAAAUUAUUUUGUUUGAGUGACUAGAUAUGCUAAUACUUAAGUUAAAUUUACACAUUCAUAAUUUUAUUUAAAUUUCCUUGAGUCGGUAUGUGUUGAAAAAGUAGACUUUGUUGUUCACAGCCGCGUUCUCUUUUUCUAUUUUCGAAUAUAAUUCUAGGAAACCUGGUGCCGAUCAAAUGUGAACAUUGACUCAAACCGCGUAGUUGGGCGUAACUGAUGCUUUAAGGAGAAAACAAAUACUGCCAAUUACCAAUAGCCCAGGACUUUCUCCCCUGUUUCCUCACUAAUUAAAAAGAAAAAAAAUUCACUUUCUCCUCUCCUACCAAAAAAAAAAAAAAGAGCAUACUUUAUAAACCAAAAUCAAGACUACUAAGUAUAAUUGUAGUUUCAUCAAAUUAAAUGAAAAAUGUUUAUAUAUUGUAUGCAGAAUUAGUCAAGAAAUACAAGCUCUUUAGACUGUCUUUUAAAGACUCACUUCCUCACUUUCCUGAUCAUUCCCUCCCCACUUUAUUAGAAGCAGAAUUCUAUAUAAAGAGCUCAAGACAACAAAGGGCUUAAGACAACAAAUUGCCUUGGCAAACAAUUUUUGUGGGACAUCGAUCCUGGAAACUUGAUUUUCUCUCCAAGGUACACAAUUCAGUUUCAAAAUGGAGAAAGCCUGGAAAAUUGUCCUGUUUUCAUGCCUGGUGGUUUCUUUCUUGGCUUCAUCGUCUGCCCAAACCUGUCUUACCCAAACUUUUUCCAACAACAAGCGGUAUACCAACUGCAGCGAUCUUCCAGCCUUGAACUGUUUCCUCCAUUGGACAUAUAAUCAAACAGCUGAGACCGUUGAGAUUGCAUUUAGACACACCGGCACCACCUCAUCAAGAUGGUCAGCUUGGGCUAUCAAUCCUGCAGGACCAAGAAUGCAGGGUUCCCAGGCUUUGGUUGCCUUUGUCAACUCCAGUGGCGUCGCUCACGCAUUCACAACAUCAAUUGAUUCCAUGGGCCCUUCCAUGCAACAGAGUGUUUUGAGCUUUGAUGUUCCAAGCCUUUCAGCAACCUUUGAGAACAAUGAAAUGACGAUAUUUGCUGUCCUGAGAAUUUCCGGAAAUUUGUUAUCUACCAGCCAGGUGUGGCAGGAAGGUCCUGUGACUAACGACCGACUAGGUACUCAUCCUAUUGGUGGAGCCAACCUUCAGUCCACUGGAAGUGUCAAUUUCCUCACAGGACAAACUGGAGGGAGUUCAUCUGGUUCA
rnacentral:lncRNA from 1 species